ACGACCUGAGUUCAGUUCCCAGCACCCACAGGACAGCUCAGAAACAUCCGUCCCUCCAGUUCCCAGAGGAUCCGUGCCCUUUUCUGAUUCCCAGCAGCAGGUACACGGUGCACAUACGUACAUGCAAAACACAAAAACUCAAGAGCCUGUAUGAGCCGAAGAUGACUCACUGGUUAAGAAUGCACAAUGCUCUUACAGAGGGACCUGAGUCUCUUGAGUGACAGCUCCAAGGGAUAAGAGGAUCUGAUAACCUCUUCUGGCUUCUGCAGACACAGCCCGAGCAUGCACAGACGCAUAAGUAUGCACGUUGUUUAAAAGUAAAGUUUCCCCGCCCAGGACGUUUUAUGGAGCAGAGUAAAAAUGGAGGAACUGUUUUCCCCAUAGUUAGUUGGCGUUUUACCUUAAAUGUUUGUGUGUAUUUUGCCUGUGUGUGUGGGUAGGUGCAUUUUGGAGGCCAAAAGAGGACUUAGAGUUAAUAGUUUGGAGCUGCCAAGUGAGUGCUGGGAAUUGAACCUGGAUCCUCUGGGAGAGCAGCUGAGUACUUAACUUAGCCAGGGAACCGUCUAUCUCUCAAGUCAUAGUUUGUGAUCUUUUCAAAUACAGCUUCAAGGAAUGGUGGUAAUGUGGACUAGACUUUCUUGGGCUAGAGCAGGGCAGCAAUCCUGACAUGAAGACUGCCUGAGGGUCUAAGGAGUGUCUGUAUAUUUCUGUCCCCCGUCUCUUCUGUAUGUAUAAACUUGGGCAUUCGUACCUAUUUCCCUCUAAUGUUUUUGUUUAUAUUUUGAGCUGCUUAUAAAGUUUAAGAUAAGAGCAGUUUAGGCUUGACUUAAGUAGGUUUGCUGCAGCAAUUAACCAUUUUCUUCUUUUGGGCAAUGAGUUGGUAAGUGUUUUGUCUUUCCUUUUGCCUGCCUUCCAGUCCCUCUUACCUAAUGGGGUGACAUGCAUGCAUCCUGACACCUGGCCACCAUGCUUAAGAAACAGAUUUCCUUUGGCUUUCCCAAAGAAAAACUUGGGAGAAGGGCUUCAUUUUUAUAUUUCCGCUAAACUUUUAUGCCUAGUUUCUUUAAUUACCUAACUAGUAGUAUACACUUGGGUCACUCUUUAGAAGUAAACAUUUCAAAGGCUUAAUCAUACAUAUAGCUUACAGGUAUCUUAUGUAUACAUAUUUGGGAAGGUGGGCUUUCAUGUGUGGCCCUAACUAGCCUCGAACUCAAGAGAGCUUUGCUUGCCUCUUUCGAAUUAGUGCUGGGAUUAAAAGUGCAUCAUUACACAGAGCCCAGGCAUUUUAUGCUUUUUUGCUGGUGCAGGGAUCAUACCCAAGUGGGCAUCUGGCAAUAAUGGAUAAAUAGCCACUCUACUAUAAGGUGCUACACACAGACACACACACAUUGUUACACCGUGGUUUGCUUGUUUAUAUUGAGACCCUUUAAGGUGUGAAAUCACCAGUACCCAUAGGGGGUUUGGCUUUUAUUGCAUUUGCUUAUUGGAGUGCUCUUAUGCCACAGCCUGUGCAGAUCAGAACUGUUCAUUCUCACUUCCAUGUACAUGUGGAGAACUCAGGUCUUAGGCUUGAUGUUUAAGUUAUGUCCUCAUGAGCUGGGCAGUGGUGGCGCACGCCUUUAAUCCCAGCACUCGGGAGGCAGAGGUGGAUUUCUGAGUUCCAGGACAGCCAGGGCUACACAGAGAAACCCUGUCUCAAAAACC
rnacentral:lncRNA from 1 species